rnacentral:rRNA from 1 species
GACGAACGCUGGCGGCGUGCUUAACACAUGCAAGUCGAACGGACAGGCCCUGCUUUUGUUGGUUGCUCGAGUGGCGAACGGGUGUGUAACACGUGAGUAACCUGCCCUUGUCUUUGGGAUAACUUCAGGAAACUGGGGCUAAUACCGGAUAUGAUCUCCUGCUGCAUGUUGGGGGUUGGAAAGUUUCGGCGGUUGGGGAUGGACUCGCUGCUUAUCAGCUUGUUGGUGGGGUAGUGGCUUACCAAGGCUUUGAGGGGUAGCCGGCCUGAGAGGGUUACCGGCCACAUGGGGACUGAGAGACGGCCCAGACGCGUACGGGAGGCAGAAGUGGGGAAUAUUGCACAAUGGGCGGAAGCCUGAUGCAGAAACGCCGCGUGCGGGAUGACGGCCUUCGGGGGGUAAACCGCUUUCGCAGGUGACGAAGCGUGAGUGACGGUAAUGGGUAAAGAAGCAACGGCUAACUACGUG